rnacentral:rRNA from 2 species
UAACGCGUGGGAACGUACCUUUUGGUUCGGAACAACUGAGGGAAACUUCAGCUAAUACCGGAUAAGCCCUUACGGGGAAAGAUUUAUCGCCGAAAGAUCGGCCCGCGUCUGAUUAGCUAGUUGGUGGGGUAAUGGCCCACCAAGGCGACGAUCAGUAGCUGGUCUGAGAGGAUGAUCAGCCACAUUGGGACUGAGACACGGCCCAAACUCCUACGGGAGGCAGCAGUGGGGAAUAUUGGACAAUGGGCGCAAGCCUGAUCCAGCCAUGCCGCGUGAGUGAUGAAGGCCCUAGGGUUGUAAAGCUCUUUUGUGCGGGAAGAUAAUGACGGUACCGCAAGAAUAAGCCCCGGCUAACUUCGUGCCAGCAGCCGCGGUAAUACGAAGGGGGCUAGCGUUGCUCGGAAUCACUGGGCGUAAAGGGUGCGUAGGCGGGUUUCUAAGUCAGAGGUGAAAGCCUGGAGCUCAACUCCAGAACUGCCUUUGAUACUGGAAGUCUUGAGUAUGGCAGAGGUGAGUGGAACUGCGAGUGUAGAGGUGAAAUUCGUAGAUAUUCGCAAGAACACCAGUGGCGAAGGCGGCUCACUGGGCCAUUACUGACGCUGAGGCACGAAAGCGUGGGGAGCAAACAGGAUUAGAUACCCUGGUAGUCCACGCCGUAAAC